rnacentral:rRNA from 1 species
UACGAAGGGGGCUAGCGUUGCUCGGAAUGACUGGGCGUAAAGGGCGCGUAGGCGGCUUGUACAGUCAGAUGUGAAAUUCCUGGGCUCAACCUGGGGGCUGCAUUUGAUACGUAUGGGCUUGAGUGGGGAAGAGGGUCGUGGAAUUCCCAGUGUAGAGGUGAAAUUCGUAGAUAUUAGGAAGAACACCAGUGGCGAAGGCGGCUCACUGGCCCGGUACUGACGCUGAGGCGCGAAAGCGUGGGGAGCAAACAGG